CCGGCUUGUCCACCGCCUCCGCCACAUUUCUCUCUAAAACCUGGGACCGAUCCGGAGGCACGCUGCUCCCCGCCUCCCCUGCGCCCACGGGUUCAGGUCCUGGGCGCGGGGUCUGGGCGGGUGUCCUGCGACCCUGGGGAGGGGGACGGAGGGUUCCCCAGAGCCCCCCAACUGAGAUCCCGGUGCGCUUCAAAGGCGCCCACACGCACAAACACCCUCAUCCUUAAACUUUGGGGACAACUUUUUAGGACCUGGGCAAACUAAGAGGGGGAGAGAAGCCAAAGGCCAGUGUGGGCUUCGACCUAAGGUAGCCAUUUAGCUUUUCCACUGUCCUUCCUGCAAAGACUGCGGCCGCCAGUUCUCUGCCCCGGGCUCAAGUUCCUGGUGGAGCCCGAAAGCCUUCGAACUUCGGGGACAGCGAAUAAAGAUCCCCACGGGUAUGGGGCGUGCGCCCGCGUCCUAGCGCCCGCAGGGGUAUGGGCGCGGCGGCCACCUCUCGGAAUCCGCGGCCCCGGGGGUCCCCACGACGCCAGCGCCGCCCACAGGCCCGGUGGAGAGCGCCUGUGCCCGCCUGGCUGGGGACAGGAAGACCAACUCCACACCAAGUAGGCUGUCCCCUCCACCUGCGGAGAGUGGGACGCCACAGCGGUGUGAUCAGGGUUGAAGGCUGGGCUCUGGCGUUCGUGACUUUGAGCAAUUCCAUGACCUCUCAGAGCCUUCACUUCCCGAGGGCCAUAAAUGACAGAGUUCUUGGGAGAAGACUUGUAAAGUGAGUAUUUACAAAGCGGCAAAUAACUUCAGAAACUCAUGGUAGCAGUAAUAUUGGGGAAGAGGACGUUUUCGCGGUAGAUGGUGACAAUAAUUCAUCUCCUUUCUAGAACUUAAAAAAUAUAACCAAUCAUUUAUUUUUAUUUUAUUAUUUUUAUUUGAUUGAUUGAUUGAUUUGCACUCGGAAUUGAAUCCGAGGGCACUUACCACUGAUCCACAUCCCCAGCCCUUUUUAUUUCUUAUUUUGAGACUGGGUCUCACGAAGUUGUGGAGGCUAGCCUUGAACUUGCGAUCCUCCUUCCCCAGCCUCUGGAAUAAAUGGAAUUAAAGGUAUGAACCCUGCCUGGCCUUAUCAUCUGUUGUCUAUAUCCAUCUGUUG
rnacentral:lncRNA from 1 species